rnacentral:rRNA from 1 species
UUCCAGCUCCAAUAGCGUAUGCUAAAGCUGCUGCGGUUAAAAAGCUCGUAGUUGGAUCUCAGUUGCGGGCGGGUGGUGCAUCUACCCGAUGUGACAGCCCGAUCUGAACAUCUUGCCUUCUAUCCUCUGGUGUCCUUCACUGGAUGCCUUUGGGUGGUCGGUGCAUUUACUUUGAAAAAAUUAGAGUGCUCAACGCAGGCGAAGUGCCUGAACACUUAUCAUGGAAUAAUAGAACAAGACCCCGUUUCUGUUCUGUUGGUUUUUUGG